rnacentral:lncRNA from 1 species
ACAGUACUCCCAGCUAUAGCAAGCGGCAGUUAUGGAGCAUGCGCAGCAGCAGGGGCGGCCGCAGGUCGCCGUUCAAUAAUACGUAAUGUAUAGACUUUUGAGUAUACGAAGCUCCCUGUUUCUCUAGGUUCACCUGAGAUUUAUCUGGUCUUUCAGGGCUUAAAAGGGAGACAUUCCCAAAGAAGAUUCCGUGGGAAGUCUCCUACAAGCCCCGAAGGAAGGGAAUCUCUCUCCUCAUACCUUGAGUUUCCUGAGUACAAUUAUUAUAGAUAUACGAAGAUCUCUGUGCUCAUGGAGAAUUUGUGGUUAGAUAUGAAGCUAAUUCAUCUCUGUUUGGGAACAGGGUACAUGAUCUAGGACAGGAAAAAAACGGGGCGAGGCAGUACGCUUUACUUGGUGUUUUGCUAUUUGGAGGUUUUCAAAAACUAAACAGUGUAGGAAAGUCAUGUGUGUCCAGCAACUAUCUGUGGCCAGUUGAGUAGGAAUAAGAUUUGGCGAAAUGUAUGCUCAGGCCUGUACUCCCAGCACUGUGGGAGGCCGAGGCGGAGGAUCACUUGAGUCCAGCAGUUUGAAACCAGCCUGGGCAACAUAGGGAGGCCUUGUCUCUACUAAAUUUUUUUUUUUAAUUAGCCGGGCGUGGUGGUGCAUGCCUAUAGUCCAAGCUACUGGGAGGGCUGAGAUGGGAGAUUGGAUCGCUUGAGCCCAGGAGUUGUAUGCUGCAAUGAGUUGUGAUCCCACCACUGCACUCCAGCCUGGGCAACAGAAGCAGACCCUGUCUCAAAAAAUAAACCAAAAACAAACAAAACAGGGAAAUGUGUGCGAGCGAGGAUGAGAUCCAAGUACUUGUGAGACAAAGCACUGUAAAGAGAAUAAUUAAUGAAAAUUACAAAAAACUACAGCCAACAUUUGUUGAGGGUUUACUAUAGGCCAGAAAUCUAAGCACUUUAUAUAUAAUUGUUCGGAGUUUAUAUAUGUGUAUUUAAGCACACAUACUGUUUUCUUUGGUCUACAUAUGCAAAUAAUAACAAAUGGCUUGGAGUAGGAACAUAAAUGAGCAAAUGAUAAAAUAUGAUUUAUAUAUAUGUAUAGACUUGGUGACUUAGUAUGCUAACCUACUCUGGUCUAAAUUGUUGCAUUCCAUCUGACAUCAAAAUAUUGUUAUCAAUCAAAAAUUAUUCAAUUAAUUACUAAGGAAAUCUGCCGCUUUCUAAAAUAACUGGUUAAAAACAAGUAGAGGUUAGUUAUACAAUAAUUAGUAUAUAAUGACAUUUAGGCAACCUGACGUCACUCUGUUUUGCCAAUUGCAAACAUGUUACUUUCCAUUGUUAGAUAGAGGAUUGCUGAAAUGUUAUCUAAAAGUCCAAACAUGUACAUGAAUUGCAAAUGCAGCUUUUGAUUUGUGGUCUUGUUUUUAGCUUGACCUUAUAAUGAAAUCUAUUUUUAUUUUUAAGUUUAUUUUUUUAAGACAAGAUCUUGCUUUGUCACCCAGGCUGGAGUGCAGUGGCACAAUCUCGGCUCACUGCAAUCUCUGCCCCCCAGAUUCAAGCGAUUCACUUGCCUCAGCCUCCCUAGUAGCUGAGAUCACAGGCAUGUGCCACCACGCCCGGCUAAUUUUUGUAUUUUUUUAAUAGAGACAGGGUUUCUCCAUGUUGACCAUGCUGGUUGCGAACUCCUUACUUCAGUCAAGGGAUUUGUACAGCCCUGUAGGAGACACCUCCAGAGAAAGUAACAGCUCUCAAUUGAUUAGCUGAGAAGCCUCAGGGGCUGGAUCCUGACAUGAACCAGACACCUCCAGAAUUCUAUCCCAAGCAAAAGAUUAUUUCAAGGCCAGAACUCACUCCCUGCUGGAGACUGACUACAAGAUCCACUGAGAUUGAUGUGUAACCUGAUUGGGCCCACAGUGAUGCUAGCCCCUUCACCAGAUGGAACAAUAAUUCCAGACAAGCCAUCAGAGCAGAGAGCAGAGAAGAGGAGAAGCAGCUGGAUGUCAGAGACUGCAGUUUGACGUUGGAGAAAAGCAGCUUGACUUCAGAGGGACAGCUUGACAGCAUGGAUUCAGAGAGGAGAAGAUCACCUUCCUGCUCCGUCCCCUUUCCAGCUCCCUUUCCCACUGAGAGCCACUUACACAGGCAAUAAAAUCCUCUGCAUUCACCACCCUUCAAUUCAUUCAUGCAACCUGAUUUUUUUCUGGAUGCUGAACAUGAGCUCAGGUACCAUGGGUGCAGAUGCAAAAGGCUGUCACACUGACCCUGUGCCCUUGCUGGCAGAAAGCAGCUGCCUCAUGCAAAAAGGCAGAGGGCCACUGAGCUGUCAACACGUAAGCCAUCUGCAGAUGGCAAAGGUAAAAGAGAGCUGACUGUAACACUCCUGGGGCUUCAGGGGUCACCAGUUCCCCUUGCCUGGAUGCUGCUUCAGGAACCACACGGAGUUUUGCUCCUGCUGGUGCCCAAAAGCACUCACACCAGCUCCUGCACCCACUCACCUGUGUGCGCCCUCCUUUGAGGGGUUGAGCACAACCCCUCACAGUUUGAGUAAGUGGAGUUUGCCCCUGUGAACACCAAAGUGGCUGGCUGACUCCAGAGCCCAUACUCCAGAUCCUGCCUGUGAAGGGAUCAGGGAAAAUUUCCUGCUUCAAUAUCUUAGAUGAAUUUUGGCUUUUACAAAAGACAGAAAGAGCUUGUUGAAUAUAAGUGACUUUUGCUUUUAAACUAAACUAAACAGCUACACAACUCUUCUGACAAAGGGAAUACACAGCAUGGCUUCUUGCUUGAAAUGUGGGGGGAGAGAAAACGAGGAAAUAUAGGGAGGACAGGCACAAACUGAUAAAUUAACUUUCUAUAGAUGUUUUAUACUUUUAUAAUUUUUCCACAUUCAAUUUUUUUUUCAGGAUUUUUAGCGUUUAUGUAAUCUCUUUCUAUCAGCAUAUAGUAAAUAACACAUUCAUUUAAAAACCCCAUAUCCUGUCUUAAUAGCAUUCAUAGCCAGAAGAUUUUCUUCUCUCACAAUUUUUUUUUUUUUUAAUUUGCUUAAAAUUGGUCUAUCCCUGAAAGUCAGUCUUUCAUCCUGGCAUCUGAGUCCAUGAAAAAGCCUUAAGUCAUCCCUAGUGACUUUAUAAUCAAAUUCCCUUCAACCAAAUCCUUGUGUGGGCAUUUGCUGACUUAAAAAUUUCCCAAUUGUGAAUUGCCCUUUAGGUUCUGGGUUCUGUGCUCUUCCCUUCAGAAAUUGUUUAGUGUUUUUCCUUCAGCAGAAUUUUCUUUUUUCAUGGAUCUUAAGGGAAUAAUUAGGCAUGAUAUAAAUUCCAGAACCUCUUUACCGUUCUUUUCCUGCAUUUGACAUUCAAUUUUCCUCUCCUAUUUAUUCAUUCAUUGUGUCCCUGUACCUUUUGCUACUUUUCAUUUUGACUCCUUUUCUCUGUGUGUAAAUGUUCAUUCCCUGAUUCCCAAAGUAAACGCAUGACAUUUAGUAUAAUAUUUGGUUGCUUUUCUGCCCCCACAUUUCUGCUGCAUCUUUGUUUUGCUUGUCUCCAGCCCUUUUCAGUUUGUUUGUUCAUACCUUUCUCAUCUCAAACAUAAUUUAUCCCUUUUACCAAACAUUUUAUCUUGGUGUUACUCCUUUUUAAGCUUUGACUCUCUUUUUGUUGGUCACGACUUACAAAAGUUUCGUCUGGGACAAAAGCAAUAGAUUGGCUCUCUGAAUUCUCAUUUGGUAUUUUAUGAUAAGGAAGAAUUAGUUAUUAUCCACAUUUUACAGGUGCCUGAAGAAGAUAUAGAAAGGAAAAUAUUAACAUCGUGCCUUAAACCAUAUGUUAAAUCCUUUUUUUUUUUUUUUUUUUUUGAGACGGAGUCUCGCUUUGUCGCCCAGGCUGGAGUGCAGUGGCGUGAACUCGGCUCAGUGCAAGCUCCGCCUCCCGGGUUCACCCCAUUCUCCUGCCUCAGCCUCCCGAGUAGCUGGGACUACAGGCACCCACCACCUCACCUGGCUAAUUUUUUUUGUAUUUUUUAGUAGAGACGGGGUUUCACCGUGUUAGCCAGGAUGGACUCGAUCUCCUGACCUCAUGAUCCGCCCGCCUCGGCACCCCAAAGUGCUGGGAUUACAGGCGUGAGCCACCGCGGCCGGCCUGUUAAAUCUUUUAGAAAGGCAAACUAGAGCAGAGAACUCCUACCCCCACAUCUAUUACAACCUGGUGCCCCAUCACCUGGGUCCAGGGACCAUCUUCAUUAAAAGUUGUCCUUUGUGCCUUUCUACUCCAAACUCACAGAUUUACAGAUUUGGGCCCCGGAAUCUCUAUUUUUAAAAGAAUUUCCAGGGUUAUUCUUAGGCACAGUAAAGUUAAAAAAAAAAUUAAGCCACUGAUCUAGCUCUGCCUCCUAAGAUAGCUGAGGAACUGAUCCUUUCUGUGCAUAUACAAUGUGUCUAAUAUAGUGCUCCAUUUUAUUCUUACAUAUGCAUAUUAUAGCUAGUCAGGAACAAAAUGACUUUAAACACUUGCCCCCAGGCAAGGGUGCAGGAGCAUGACUGAAGUUCUAUACUCAUAGUUGUUUAUUUUUUGAGACAGAGUUUCACUCUUGUUGCCCAGGCUGGAGUGCAGUGGCACGAUCUUGGCUCACAGCAGCCUCCAUCUCCUGGGUUCCAGUGAUUCUCCUGCUUCAGCCUCCCAAGUAGCUGAGAUUAUGGGCACCCACCAC